CCAGGUGAGAGGUAAGUAAUAAGUCUAAUGUGAUAUUAGAUUUAUUACUUAUCUUAAUAAUAAAGAUAAGAGAGAUGAUUGAAAGUUAGUUGUUAAAAGUCUUGUCCACGCUGCGGAAGCUACUAAGGGCGAGCGGUGGAUGCCUAGGCUGGCAGAGGCGAAGAAGGACGUGCUAGGCUGCGAAAAGCCAGGGGGAGCUGCCAAGGAGCGUUGAUCCCUGGAUUUCCGAAUGGGGGAACCCGGCCGGUGGAGACACCGGUCACCCACUUAUGUGGGGGCGAACCCGGGGAAGUGAAACAUCUCAGUACCCGGAGGAGAAGAAAUCAAACGAGAUUCCCAAAGUAGCGGCGAGCGAAAUGGGAGUAGCCCGCCUCUGUGUAGCCUAUGCUAUAGGGGAAUUACCUGGAAAGGUAAGCCAAAGAGGGUGAAAGCCCCGUACCCGAAAUAGCAUAGGUGGGACUAAGCAGAGGCCUUGCGAGUAGCUCGGGACACGUGUUAUCCUGAGUGAAGAUGGGAGGACCACCUUCCAAGGCUAAAUACUCCUGCCAGACCGAUAGCGAACCAGUACCGUGAGGGAAAGGUGAAAAGAACCCCAGUGAGGGGAGUGAAAUAGAACCUGAAACCGCUUGCCUACAAUCAUUCGGAGCCCUAUGUCCUUUGGACAGGGUGACGGACUGCCUUUUGCAUAAUGAGCCUGCGAGUUGUGGUCACCGGCGAGGUUAACUCGAGAGAGGGAGCCGAAGCGAAAGCGAGUCUGAAAAGGGCGCAUAGUCGGUGGCUGCAGACCCGAAGCCGGGUGAUCUAUCCAUGGGCAGGUUGAAGUGGGGGUAAGACCCCAUGGAGGACCGAACCGGUGGGCGUUGAAAAGCCCUCGGAUGACCUGUGGAUAGGGGUGAAAGGCCAAUCAAACUCGGUGAUAGCUGGUUCUCUCCGAAAUGCAUUUAGGUGCAGCGUCAAGAAGUAGCCGUAGGGGGUAGAGCACUGAUAGGGCUAGGGCGGCCCACAGCUGUACCAAACCCUGUCAAACUCCGAAUACCUACGGUGUAAUCUUGGCAGUGAGGCGUAGGGUGAUAAAAUCCUAUGUCGAGAGGGGAACAACCCAGACUACCAGCUAAGGUCCCAAAGUGAUGGCUAAGUGGAAAAGGAGGUCUUCCUGCUUAGACAACCAGGAGGUUGGCUUAGAAGCAGCCAUCCUUUAAAGAAAGCGUAACAGCUCACUGGUCGAGCGGGGAGGCGCCGAAAAUAUAACGGGGCUAAAGCCAUCCACCGAAGCUGUAGACUCUCUGUGGAAGAGAGUGGUAGGAGAGCGUUGAUGACAGCGUAGAAGCUGUACCGGUGAGGAGCAGUGGAGCGUCAUCAAGUGAGCAUGCAGGCAUGAGUAGCGAUAAAGUGGGUGAGAAUCCCACUCGCCGAAAGCCUAAGGUUUCCUACACGAUGCUCGUCAGUGUAGGGUUAGUCGGGACUAAGACGAGGCCGAAAGGCGUAGUCGAUGGGAAACGGUUAAUAUCCGUACUACUACAGCGAGGCGAGAGGGACGCCUAGGGUAGCCGAGGUCACUGAUGGAAUAGUGGCUCGAAGGGUGUAGGAGGUGCGGUAGGCAAAUCCGCCGCACAAAACUCCGAGACCUGACAGGCUCCCAAAGCUCUUCGGAGCGGAGGGGGAAUCGGUGAUACCGUCGGGCCGAGAAAAGCCUCUAAGCCGUUUGAGCUGUUAGUAGCCCGUACCGCAAACCGACACAGGUAGGCGGGAUGAGUAUUCUAAGGCGCGUGGAAGAACCCUCCCUAAGGAACUCGGCAAACUGGCACCGUAACUUCGGGAUAAGGUGUGCCCCGAGUAGGUGAAGGAGCUAGCCUCUGGAGCCGAAAGGGGUCGCAGCGCAGCGCUCUUGCCGACUGUUUACCAAAAACACAGCACUCUGCUAACUCGUAAGAGGAAGUAUAGGGUGUGACGCCUGCCCGGUGCCGGAAGGUUAAGGGGAUCCGUUAGCCGUAAGGCGAAGCGGUGAACCGAAGCCCCGGUAAACGGCGGCCGUAACUAUAACGGUCCUAAGGUAGCGAAAUUCCUUGUCGGUUAAAUACCGACCUGCAUGAAUGGCGUAACGAGUGAGGGGCUGUCUCAGGGAGGGAUCCAGUGAAAUUGUAGUGGAGGUGAAAAUUCCUCCUACCCGCGGCAAGACGGAAAGACCCCGUGGACCUUUACUACAGCUUGGCAUUGUAGGUGGGAUAUCCAUGUGCAGGAUAGGUGGGAGGCUGAGAAGCCCGGGCGCCAGCUCGGGUGGAGCCGACCUUGAGAUACCACCCUUGGAUAUCCUGCCUACUAACCCGCAGGAGUAAUCCUCCUGGGGGACAGUGCCUGGUGGGUAGUUUGACUGGGGCGGUCGCCUCCUAAAGAGUAACGGAGGCUCACAAAGGUUGGCUCAAGGCGGUUGGAAAUCGCCUGAAGAGUGUAAAGGCACAAGCCAGCCUGACUGCGAGACACACAGGUCGAGCAGAGACGAAAGUCGGUCUUAGUGAUCCGGUGGCGCUGAGUGGAAGGGCCAUCGCUCAAAGGAUAAAAGGUACCCCGGGGAUAACAGGCUGAUCUCCCCCGAGAGCUCACAUCGACGGGGAGGUUUGGCACCUCGAUGUCGGCUCAUCGCAUCCUGGGGCUGGAGCAGGUCCCAAGGGUAUGGCUGUUCGCCAUUUAAAGCGGUACGCGAGCUGGGUUCAGAACGUCGUGAGACAGUUCGGUCCCUAUCUGCCGUGGGCGUAGGAAGGUUGAGGAGAGCUGACCCUAGUACGAGAGGACCGGGUUGGACGAGCCACUGGUGUACCAGUUGUCCUGCCAAGGGCAGUGCUGGGUAGCCAAGCUCGGAAGGGAUAACCGCUGAAAGCAUCUAAGCGGGAAGCCCACUCCAAGAUGAGCCUUCCCAUGAGGGUGCAGGAAGACUACCUGCUUGAUAGG
rnacentral:rRNA from 1 species